UUUAUGGAGAGUUUGAUCCUGGCUCAGGAUGAACGCUGGCGGCGUGCCUAAUACAUGCAAGUCGAGCGAACGGAUGAGAAGCUUGCUUCUCUGAUGUUAGCGGCGGACGGGUGAGUAACACGUGGAUAACCUACCUAUAAGACUGGGAUAACUUCGGGAAACCGGAGCUAAUACCGGAUAAUAUUUUGAGCCGCAUGGUUCAAAAGUGAAAGACGGUCUUGCUGUCACUUAUAGAUGGAUCCGCGCUGCAUUAGCUAGUUGGUAAGGUAACGGCUUACCAAGGCAACGAUGCAUAGCCGACC
rnacentral:rRNA from 1 species